rnacentral:rRNA from 1 species
GACAGAGGAUGCAAGCGUUAUCCGGAAUGAUUGGGCGUAAAGCGUCUGUAGGUGGCUUUUUAAGUCCGCCGUCAAAUCCCAGGGCUCAACCCUGGACAGGCGGUGGAAACUACCAAGCUGGAGUACGGUAGGGGCAGAGGGAAUUUCCGGUGGAGCGGUGAAAUGCGUAGAGAUCGGAAAGAACACCAAUAGCGAAGGCAGCUCGCUGGGACGUUACUGACACUGAGGCGCGAAAGCGUGGGGAGCGAACAGG